CGAGAAAACCUCCAGACCAUAGAGUUCAGUUCCUAUCUGGGCCUCCCAUACACCACUUCCUCUUGUCGGCCUAAAACCGCGCCUGCGCACGUUCCAUCUUCCUCUUGGGCUCGGAUCUAGGUUGUGUUAACAUGGCGAAACGCACCAAGAAGGUCGGAAUCGUGGGCAAGUACGGGACCCGUUAUGGUGCCUCCCUCAGAAAAAUGGUGAAGAAAAUUGAAAUCAGCCAGCACGCCAAGUAUACCUGCUCCUUCUGUGGCAAAACCAAGAUGAAGAGAAGAGCUGUGGGCAUUUGGCAUUGUGGUUCCUGCAUGAAAACAGUAGCUGGUGGUGCCUGGACCUACAACACCACCUCUGCUGUCACAGUCAAGUCCGCCAUCAGAAGACUGAAGGAACUGAAGGACCAGUAGAAGCGCCACCAUCGAUAACAUUGCUAGCCUGAGAGCUCCAAUGAACCCCAUCCUGAUCACCUGAAUCCCCUCUUGAAUCCUGACAUGCUUUAACACUGCUAGGUCAGCAAGAACGAGUGAGAGGGAGAGAGAGAAGAUCAAAGAGAAGAUGGAGGCCUCCUUCUUCCACUCAGCAAGCUGUCUGGAGUGUGCUCUACCAACUUUGGCAAAAUUAUAAAGGAGUUUUCUAUGG